GGCACAGUAGCGCAGUGUUUAGCACUAUUGUCUUGCAAAAAGGAUGUUCUGGGUUUGAGUCCCAGCCGGCCA